rnacentral:rRNA from 1 species
GGAAACAGAUGCUAAUAACCGGAUAACAACAGAUGAUGCCUAUCAACUGUUUAAAAGAUGGUUCUGCUAUCACUCUUGGAUGGACCUGCGGUGCAUUAGCUAGUUGGUAGGGUAACGGCCUACCAAGGCGAUGAUGCAUAGCCGAGUUGAGAGACUGAUCGGCCACAUUGGGACUGAGACACGGCCCAAACUCCUACGGGAGGCAGCAGGC